AGGAACCCUAAGCCCCAAUCCCAUGAGGGAUUAGAAGCAGAGGCUCUGCAUCCAUUCCAAACCCAAUCCUUGUCUCUGUUGUGCCCACUAAGGAGCACACAGUCACGCGUUGCGUUGAGGGACUGAAUCUGCGACCAUAAUGGCGGUGCCCAAUUGGAACUGAGCAGGAUGUGGUUCUGCAACCUGAAUGGCGACGACCGAGGCCUAGUGCUCCUCUUUUAGAACCUUCCAAUCGUGUCACCAAAGAGGAGUUGUUAUUCCAACCGGAAUGGAGACGCUUAAAGCCAAGUGCGACUGCAAUUGCGAAUGCCAAUGCGAGUGUUUGGGAACCUGAAUGGAGGCGAUCGAGACCAAUGGCAACGACGUUUCCGUGGAACCAGAAUUACAACGUUCGAAAAGGUAUGGCGUCGAGUUCCGACGACGGCGACGGUGGGGUUGAAAGACGCGAAGACCCUAACGACCUUUGGCGGUGACGUGCUCCUCCGACUACGGGUAUAUACAUUCAUUGUUCAAAGAAAUGUUCCCUUCUACUUGUUGCAACACCAAUUGCAGCUAUCUCCAAAAUGCAUUCAUCCGUUCCAUCACAGACAUGCUCAAUUUCUACAGAACUUAUUUGCAUAUCAGAAACAGAAAUUUCAAAGUUAAAAGAACAACGAGUCCAACGAUGGCAAAGUAAGAGCAAGAAUCAUUUGCAGCAUGACUAUAUUUUGGGUAAUUACCCUAUUGGAAGGAAUGAUGCUGCCCAGCUUUCUGCAUUGCAAAUCUUGGCUGAGAUUGGAUUUGUUAGAAGACCUGAAUCAUGCGCCCUCAAUGGAUGGCCCCUGAAGUCCUUAGAAAUGAACCUUCAAAUUAAAAGUCUGAAGUAAGGAUUUGGUGAGCACCAUACGUCCCGUCCCACCCUUCAACCUUUAAAUGCACAUAUUAUGAAGGUAUCUGCUGUUUAUUUUUAUUAAUUUUUAUUUCAGAAAUCAGUAUCAUUUACUUUUCAUUGAGGGCACAAUCUUAUUUUCCAACAUAGAUAAUACUCAGCCUCAAGCUCGACAUAUACCCUGAAUGAUUUAUUCUUCUAAAGUUGUUCAGUUCUUAGUAAAUUUGGCCAGAGUAAAUAGUAUGUUGGAAAGUUUUAAGGCUGGCAUGAGUGAGGGAAUUCUUAUUCUUUUUUUAGUUUUUGCAUAUUCUCUUUUAUCCAGAAUGCUAGAAAAAGGUAUUUAAGUAGGAGAGGUGUGAGAUUGCAUAAUUUAGUAAAGUGAUUGCGGCAGUCAAACCUCUGUUUAUGUUGUCAUUUCCAUGGAACAAUUGCAUUGGAUUUUGCUUUUUCCUCUACACUCAGUGAUGUGGAGAAUAUUAACUUUAGGGAUUGUUGUUCA